GAGAAUCCUAUUGACCGAAUAUCUAAGGUUUCCUGGGGAAGGCUUGUCCUCCCAGGGUUAGUCGGGACCUAAGCCGAGGCCGAAAGGCGUAGGUGAUGGACAAUUGGUUGAUAUUCCAAUACCACCAAUAUGCGUUUGACAGAUGGGAUGACGCAGGAGGAUAAGAUGUGCGCACUAUUGGAUGUGCGUCUAAGCACUUAGGCUGUAGAGACAGGAAAAUCCGUUUCUACUUAAGGCUGAGGUGUGAUGGGGAGCGAAAUUAAGUAGCGAAGUAUCUGAUUCCACGCUGCCAAGAAAAGUCUCUAUGGAGUAUAUUGGUGCCCGUACCGCAAACCGACACAGGUAGAUGAGGAGAGAAUCCUAAGGUCGACGGAAGAAUUACUGCUAAGGAACUCGGCAAAUUGACCCCGUAACUUCGGGAGAAGGGGUGCCUCUGAGAGGAGGCCGCAGUGACUAGGCUCAAGCAACUGUUUAUCAAAAACACAGGUCUCUGCUAAACCGUAAGGUGAUGUAUAGGGGCUGACGCCUGCCCGGUGCUGGAAGGUUAAGGGGAAUAGUUAGCGCAAGCGAAGCUAUGAACUUAAGCCCCAGUAAACGGCGGCCGUAACUAUAACGGUCCUAAGGUAGCGAAAUUCCUUGUCGGGUAAGUUCCGACCCGCACGAAUGGCGUAAUGAUUUGAGCACUGUCUCGGCAGUAAAUCCGGUGAAAUUGUAGUGCAAGUGAAGAUGCUUGCUACCCGCGGUUGGACGGAAAGACCCCGUAGAGCUUUACUGUAGCUUAGCAUUGAAUUUCGGUAUUGUCUGUACAGGAUAGGUGGGAGACUACGAAGCUUGGGCGUCAGCCUAGGUGGAGUCAUCCUUGGGAUACCACCCUGACAGUAUUGGGAUUCUAACUGGCGGCCAUGAAUCUGGUCACAGGACAUUGUUAGGUGGGCAGUUUGACUGGGGCGGUCGCCUCCAAAAAGGUAACGGAGGCGCUCAAAGGUUCCCUCAGCGCGGUCGGAAAUCGCGCGAAGAGUGCAAAGGCAGAAGGGAGCCUGACUGCGACACCUACAAGUGGAGCAGGGACGAAAGUCGGACUUAGUGAUCCGGUGGUUCUGUGUGGAAGGGCCAUCGCUCAACGGAUAAAAGCUACCUCGGGGAUAACAGGCUGAUCUCCCCCAAGAGUUCACAUCGACGGGGAGGUUUGGCACCUCGAUGUCGGCUCGUCGCAUCCUGGGGCUGUAGUCGGUCCCAAGGGUUGGGCUGUUCGCCCAUUAAAGCGGCACGCGAGCUGGGUUCAGAACGUCGUGAGACAGUUCGGUCCCUAUCCGCCGUGGGCGUAGGAAAUUUGAGAGGAGCUGUCCUUAGUACGAGAGGACCGGGAUGGACUUACCUCUGGUGCACCAGUUGUCACGCCAGUGGCACAGCUGGGUAGCUAUGUAGGGACGGGAUAAACGCUGAAAGCAUCUAAGCGUGAAGCCCACCUCAAGAUUAGAUUUCCCAUAACGUUAAGUUAGUAAGACCCCUGGAAGACUACCAGGUUGAUAGGUCAGAGGUGUAAGUACAGUAAUGUAUUAAGCUGACUGAUACUAAUAGGUCGAGGGCUUGAUCAA
rfam:Clostridium grantii DSM 8605 genome assembly, contig: EJ34DRAFT_NODE_1_len_1568_cov_67_876915.87